AUGCUGCCGGCUGGCGUCAAGUUCGAUCCCACGGAUCAGGAGCUGAUCGAGCACCUUCAGGCCAAAGUGAGUGCUGACAGCGCGAGAUUUCAGUCUCUCAUCGAUUUGUUCAUACCAACCAUCGACAGUGAGCACGGCAUAUGCUACACCCAACCAGAGAAACUUCCAGGUAUCACACUGAGUGUCCUAAGGAAGCAUUUCUUCCAGCGCAAUUCUAGGGCGUUCAAAAGGGGAACGUGGACGCGUCGCAAGAUACAGUCGGAGUGCGGCAUGCACGCGAUGUGGCACAAGACCGGCAAUACCUUGCCGGUGAUGAGGACCAACUGGGUGAUGCACCAGUACCACCUCAGGGACCUGGAGCAAGAGAAGGAGCGGGAGCUGGUCCUCUGCAAGAUUUUCUACCAGACGAACACUAGGGCCGGGAGUAAAAAGAUUAUAAGUCGAGCAAGUUUCAACUGGGCUGUAGACUGCCCAGGGUUGGUUUUGUUUUUAACAGGCCCAGCCCAUGACAACAACGGGGCACAAAGAUCCAGCAGUUGUUUUUUCCCACCCAGCGCUGAUUUUUUACCACUGGUUUUCCCUUAA
rnacentral:rRNA from 1 species